UUUGUGGUGAUCCAUAGGCAGGCAAAGUGAAAAUUUACGGACUGUACAGCCCCAGACAGUGGGGGAAAAUAGAAGCUGUGUAACCCCAGAGACCAGAAGGUGGACUACAGAUAAAUCUGCGAAGAGAAGUAAAAAGAUGCGUUGAAGACAGCGAGAUAAAGAGAGAACUAGUGAGCGAAGCUGUAGUCAUCCUGAUAGACGGAGCAGCAAGAAUGAUUUAGUCUACUCGGGAGGAUCCAAUGAGAAUUCAAGAGGGCACCGCUUCGGAAAUCCUGCUCAGAUCUUCCCUCUCUCAGUUCUUUAAGAGUUACCUGCGCUGGGAACAUUAUUAUUAGGGUUAACAGUAUUCCAUCAGUGCAUUCCACUAGGAUCUCCCUUUCUCCCUCGCAGCAACGGAGGGAGGCGUAGUAAGGAAGCCCAACUCCACCGAGCCCCCCAGAUAAACCCCUGUGUUCACUUUAGGAUGGCCGGAUCCUCGAGGAUUGGCCUGGGGGGCUGAAGAUGCGGAGGAGGCCGGGUCUCCCGGGCGCUUUCGGGGGCGCAGGGCCGGGAGGCGUAGGCAGGGGGCUGGGGAACCGCUGCUGGAAGCGGCGGCGGCGGCGGCAGGAGCCCUCCCAGGUCCUGCUUCCUCGGCGAAUCCUGCUUCCCCGGGACUCCAGGCAAUGGACUUCCAUCGGGAACCUCAGCUCCAAGUGCCUCACUUUAGCAGCUAGAGCUUUGGAGGUUCUGAGGAUCGUCCCUGUCCCUGGGGGCAGAGGGUGGCAGGCUGCGAGUCUCCCGCGCCCCCUCUGAUUCCUGCACUAGUAACGGAGGGAGAGUGAGUCAGAAAUGGUUUUGCUGCCGAAUGCAUUAUCUGGCCAUGUUCACAGCCCUGUACGGCACAAGCGAUCGCCUGAUCGAUCCGAAAUUAGAGGGAAAGGUAGAGUGAAAAUUGAUUUCUUGCAGAGACUGAGGCGCCAAAUGAAAGAGGGAAUAAACAUUUGCCCUGGAUAAAAAUGUUCUUGGUAAGUAAUCUUAUUUUCUGCGGUUGAAAAGGAAACACAUUGCUUCUCACUGCCCCAUCCCCCACUCCAUUCAUUUAUUUGCUCUCUGUAUGUAAAUCACGAGCCGGGUCAGUGGAAUUUUUCUUUUCCUUCUUCCUAGGAAAGUAGGAGCUUGUAAGGAUGAAUUUGAAGUAAAGGGGCUUGAAGAAGGCAGUGUGAAGGCUUUAAGGUCCUAAUUUCCUGCAUUCAAAGUACAAACUCAGUUAAAGCUGAUGCCUGCUUGCUUGCUAAAUGAGUAGUUAAAUACCUCCCUGAUUUCUUACUGAAAUUUUCCUUUCUGAAAAUAAAGAAUAUAGUUUGGGGUCUGUGUCUAUGCUUUGCAUAUAGCUUGUCCAUGUUCUAAAAUAUAAUAUUUUCUCAGUUUCAGAAAUAAUGUGAAUCGCCCCCCCCCCCCGCCUUUUCUUUGUAGGGGGGGAGGGGCAGGAAAGAUGAAGUCAUAGAAACGUUUUACAAAUGUGUGCACCUUCCUUCCAAUUCUUGCACCGGAUAUAAACUUAUAAGGUCCAGAGUAGGCUUUUGCAUGUCAUGGUGAUACCUGUGAAUUCAUCCAGUCCUCUGGCUUUCCUGAGUCUACAGAGCGUCCCCAGCCUGCACAGACUCCUGCCUGGAGAAUGGGCUGUAUUCCAUUACUAAUGAUGCCCUAGAGCAGAAGGUUUCCUCCAGUCAUCUCAUUUAACCAGAAGGAUGAUUUCUGUGCAUGUCCCUGUGUUUUAGACACAUGUAGCAAGAGAGAUUGGAGGUCCACCCAAGGAGGAUGACUUAUUACAAACACAAACCUAGCAGUUGUGGUUUGAAAGAACAUACUUUUUAUAUAAAAAUUACAAUAUGCUGUUCAAACCGAUUUAAGCUAUUAUUCAAGGAAAUAGAAUUAUUUAUUGAGAACCCAACUUAAAUUAGAAAAGUAACAUUGACAUUUUUAGCACAUAUGUGAAAUAAAUGUGAGAUUGAUAUUCUUUUAAAUAUUUAGAGAAAAAAAGAGGACAGGAUGAAAAAAUACUGUGACCCAUGGCUCCUUAACUUUAAAAGAGUUUACAGCACUUAGACAUCAAUAAAUAAUGAGUAUUUUAACAUUAUAUUAGAUCAUGUGAUUAUAUUUUAUCAACCCCCAGAUAGAGCUGUCUCCUAACUGGUUUCUACCUAAGUGCAAGAAAGUUUGAGCUUAGACCUUACUCAGAAGUUAUGCAUUUUAUUUUUAUGUUGAGCUUGUCUUUUCCUGGGUAAUCUUCACGCACAUCUGCAGUUGGUAUUUUAGCCAAUUUUUGUUAUUGGUAAUGUUCUUGUCUGUUAUUCUGGCUCCAUCUUUUUUAAGAAUAUGGGUAUCACCUAAUAUAUUUCUUACCUAUUAAUCCACUAAAAUUUCUAACACAAAGCAACAUUCAAGACAUGUUGAAUUAAAGAAAUUAUGAAGCAAGUUGCUUGUGAAGAAAAAUAUCAAUAUACUUCAGAUUAUUUUAACCUGAAAUAAAUGUGUAACAAAAAUGGGUUAUAAUGAGAUAAGUACAGUCAAACUGUUCCUUGUAUACAUAUGUAACACUCACAUUUAUACAUAUAUAGUUGCCCUCAUUACAAUGCUUAAAUUUAUUCAUUUUAGUCUUAUGCUUAUUUUGAUUUCAGAGUUUUCUCUUUGAAAGUGUCUUAAACUUCUUCAGUAACUAAGUGUGAAAGCAUCUUCAUGUCUUAUUUCAUGAGACUGUAAGGGAGCAGGACCCUAGGAGGCUUUCCCAGAACAGACCCACACACAUGACCUCCACCUGCCUUUGUAGAAAAACUUUAGUCAAGGAAUAAAGUUCAUCAGAGAAGUAAGAAGAUGCAGAGAGAAAGAGAAACAGUCAAGCAUGACAAACUAAUACUUUAGCCUUUAAACAAAGUCAAGGACCUUAGUUCCUCCUCAAAGGCUAUAGAUAAUAUUCUGAACUAUAUCCUUUGAGCUGUUUUACAGAUACUGAAACCCCCAUCAGGUAGAAGUAGUUACUGUUGUCUGCCCAGAGACAGGGAGACCUCCAGGCAGGUUGGAACCAGAAGGCUGAUGAUAUUGACUCCCAAUCACCUCAUUAUCAACCAAGCGGAAGAAUGAACACAAGCUGAUCGUGCCCUGCUCCUUGAAUACUUAAAUAAGACUCCUCACUACUGCCCGCCUCUGUGGUAGGACACAUGGUCUCAAGGGCAUUAGCCCUCUGUGGCCCUCUGUGCUUGUCAAAGAAAUAAAGCUAUUUCUAUUUCACC